CUUCACAAGCAGAAGAUGGGUCUUGAGGCCCCCCACUUGUUCCAAUGAAUCAGAGGGAAUUUUCAUUCAAAGAUUUCUAUGCCUUUUUCAAGCAUCAGCCAGCAAGGCCUAGAAAUACUCUGACAAUACAGGACAGCAAUGUGGAGUCCAGACCUCCUUGGUGACAGCAUGGCCAUACUGACCUCUGCAACAGAAGAUGGGCAACAGAACUUAAAGCAGUAGCUGUACCUGCACAGCAAAAUACAUCUUAAUACACUCUCAGAUCGGGGCAAGGCACUUAAACGUACUCCACGUGUUUCAGGAACAUCUGUUGUCUUAUCAUCAUCUGAGAACAAAUUGGCCAACCCCCAUCAGAAAUGCCACUAAUACGUGCUCACAGCGAGAGUCCAGGUCUACCACCCUGUUGUCUAAAUCCCCAUCCGACUAGCACCGUACAAACUCCAGGAGACACACGGGCAUCGAGAGCUGCUGCCACAAACCAAGUUAAACUCCGCUUUCCUUGACUAGGAAGGCUGUUGGUGAGCUGAGUCCUGGGUCUGCUG